AGAGUUUGAUUCUGGCUCAGGAUGAACGCUAGCUACAGGCUUAACACAUGCAAGUCGAGGGGCAGCAUUGGAGUAGCAAUACUUCAGAUGGCGACCGGCGCACGGGUGAGUAACACGUAUCCAACCUGCCGCUUACUCGGGGAUAGCCUUUCGAAAGAAAGAUUAAUACCCGAUGGUAUAAAGAGUUCGCAUGUUCUCUUUUAUUAAAGAAUUUCGGUAAGCGAUGGGGAUGCGUUCCAUUAGAUAGUUGGCGGGGUAACGGCCCACCAAGUCUACGAUGGAUAGGGGUUCUGAGAGGAAGGUCCCCCACAUUGGAACUGAGACACGGUCCAAACUCCUACGGGAGGCAGCAGUGAGGAAUAUUGGUCAAUGGACGAGAGUCUGAACCAGCCAAGUAGCGUGAAAAGGAUGACUGCCCUAUGGGCUGUAAACUUCUUUUAUAAGGGAAUAAAGUGAGGGACGUGUCCCUUUUUGUAUGUACCUUAUGAAUAAGGAUCGGCUAACUCCGUGCCAGCAGCAGC
rnacentral:rRNA from 1 species